ACUUUUGAUAUAUUGUGUUUGUAGGAGUAACAUGAUCCAAAGAACUUAUUUUUCUGCUAUGUGGGGCUGCUAGAAACUAAAUGAAAAUAAAAGGAGAGCAUCGGGAGGAGAAUAUAGAGGAAAGCAAGCUGCCUUUGCAGCUGGAGGAAAGCAGGUCAGCGACAAAGGGAUCCAAGGAAGUCAGAAGAAUUAGGGGACAGCAACUGGCAAAGCAGAGGAAAUGGAGGAGUCCACACGGGGGACGGAAAAAGAAUCCAAAGGUGGAGAGAGAUCAGUGCGCGGGAGGCGCGGGGAAUAAAAAAAAGACAGCUGCCUUUGGCAGCUGGAGAGACUGCAACGGGAAAGCAGAAAAUAUAAGGGAAGGCGAGAGACGGGCAGAGGUCAGAAAGAAGAAAGAAAAAUAUAAAAAAGGCAGGAAGCUGCCUUAGCAGCUGAAAAAAAGAAAGAAAAAAUAUAAAAAAUAAAGGAUAUAGGCGGACAGCAGAGGUCAGAAAGAGAGAGGGAAAAGCUGCCUUAGGCAGCUUGAAAAAGAGAAGAGAGGGAAGGCAGCAACAGAGGGGGGUCUUGGAGCGGGAGAAGGGACUGCCCUUUGGGCAGUUCGCAGAGAGAAAGGAAAGAGCUGCCUUUGCAGCACAAGGAAAGAAGGCAGACAGCUGCCCUUACAGCGUGAGCGGAAAGAAACAGGCGGGAGAAAGAGGAGACAGAAACUGAGGGGGACUGACGUGAGGACAGGAGGAUUGCAGAAAGCUGCACUUGCAGCUGGGAAGGCGCAGUCCACACGGGCAGAAGACCAGAGGCACGGGCAGACUGGCACUGAAACACUCUUUUCUCUCGGUUAAAUCUUUCCAAAUUUCUACUUUAUUUUUAAUAAUGUGUAAUUAAUUUUAUUUUGGCUAGAGGUUAAUUCGAAACCAUGUAUAUAUUUGUAAUAUGAAUUGAUUACCUUCGGUUGUGAUUUCAUAAGUUGUGAUUUCAAUUUACUUAUCCGUUCGUAUAAAAACUGAUUUGUGUAUGUUGGUUGAGAGUGCACGCUUAAUUUACAUGCAUGAAUUUGAUGCUAGAAUAUAAGUGAAUUUCACCUAAUCGUUAUGAACUUAUUUUCACAAGUAGUAAAGGUUGCUAGUCACAAUCACGUUAAGUAAAUUCUUGGCAAGAGUAUCAUGCUUUUCAUAGUUACGAAUGCCUCGUCAAUGCUUAUAGUUUUCACAAAGUUUAAUGAUCUUUGAUUGUAUCUCUAUUGUGCUUUUCACGUAGGGGACUUUUGAAGAAUGUUUUGAAUUGUUGUAUGCGUUUUCCCGUCCAAUUCAAUAACUUAAGGAAAACUUGAAGAUUAAAAAAGUGUUGUUCACGGUUAAUCUGGAGUUUUGAGAUUCACAAUUUAUUGAAAGAACAACUGAAAAUCAAUUUAAGUUGCAUAUGUGUCAUGUGUGGAGAAUAACCCUCUAGCUAGUCCGUCAUUUAUCAUUUUACCUUAAUUUCAUGUUUUUGUCAAUUCUGUAAUUUAUUUAAGUUUAAUUUACUUCUAGUCAAAACCAAACACCCAUCCAUUAUUAAAUUAUAUUAUUUAGUUAGUUUUCUUUAUUGUUAGUCUUUUAAUUUAAUUUCCGUCCAUUUCAGUUCCUAGUGUUUAAUUUAAUUGUUUUCAUUAUUUUGAGUCAUUUUAAGUGUGUUUCGAGUUAUUAGAGUUUUUAGCCUAGUUUUGUGUCCUUGAGUCUUAUUUAAUAUUUUUAAAUUAAUUUACAAUAGAUUAGCAAUCCCUCCUAAUCCCCGGCCUAGAACGAUACCCUACUUACAUCUAUACUACAAUUGUCAAAAAGAGGGUUUAAUUUGUGUGCUUAGUUAUUUUACGCAUCAGUAUACGAAAGAAUGGUCUCAUGAAUCUAACUUCUUUAGAUUGCAUUCUCCCAAUCACAUAUUCCUUGGACUUAUCGUUUAAGCAUAUAACAUGUAUAUGAGACGACUCAAACAAUAACCUUUUGCCCUUUAUAUUUAAACUACAUUAGUUUAACUUGUGAAAUGUCCGUAAAGUAUCAUCAUAUGAUUGGUUUUAGGGCACAUUUCCAACAGCUACACAGACAUCCUCUACUUCCUACAAGAAGCACAAGUCCGGCUAACGG
rnacentral:lncRNA from 1 species